AACGCGAAGAACCUUACCAAGUCUUGACAUCCUUUUGACCGGUCGGUAAUGCGACCUUCUCUUCGGAGCAAAAGUGACAGGUGGUGCAUGGUUGUCGUCAGCUCGUGUCGUGAGAUGUUGGGUUAAGUCCCGCAACGAGCGCAACCCUUAUCUUUAGUAGCCAGCAUUUUAAGAUGGGCACUCUAGAGAGACUGCCAGGGAUAACCUGGAGGAAGGUGGGGAUGACGUCAAAUCAUCAUGCCCCUUAUGACUUGGGCUACACACGUGCUACAAUGGCGUAAACAAAGAGAAGCAAGACUGUGAAGUGGAGCAAAUCUCAAAAAUAACGUCUCAGUUCGGAUUGUAGUCUGCAACUCGACUACAUGAAGCUGGAAUCGCUAGUAAUCGCGAAUCAAAAUGUCGCGGUGAAUACGUUCCCGGGUCUUGUACACACCG
rnacentral:rRNA from 1 species